rnacentral:rRNA from 1 species
UACGUAGGGUGCAAGCGUUGUCCGGAAUCAUUGGGCGUAAAGCGCGCGUAGGUGGCUUCGUAAGUCCGUUGUGAAAGUCAAAGGCUCAACCUUUGAAUGCCGAUGGAUACUGCGAAGCUAGAGUACGGAAGAGGCGAGUGGAAUUCCUGGUGUAGCGGUGGAAUGCGCAGAUAUCAGGAGGAACACCAAUGGCGAAGGCAGCUCGCUGGAACGGUACUGACGCUGAGGCGCGAAAGCGUGGGGAGCAAACAGG